CUACGGGAGGCAGCAGUGGGGAAUUUUGCGCAAUGGGGGAAACCCUGAUGCAGCAACGCCGCGUGGAGGAUGAAGUCCCUUGGGACGUAAACUCCUUUCGACCGGGACGAUGAUGACGGUACCGGAAGAAGAAGCCCCGGCUAACUUCGUGCCAGCAGCCGCGGUAAUAAUCUCUAG
rnacentral:rRNA from 1 species